GACGAACGCUGGCGGCAUGCCUAACACAUGCAAGUCGAGCGAGCAGAUCCCUUCGGGGUGAAGCUAGCGGCGGACGGGUGAGUAACACGUGGGCAACCUGCCUCAUAGAGGGGAAUAGCCUUCCGAAAGGAAGAUUAAUACCGCACAAGAUUGUAGCUUCGCAUGAAGUAGCAAUUAAAGGAGCAAUCCGCUAUGAGAUGGGCCCGCAGCGCAUUAGCUAGUUGGUGAGGUAACGGCUCACCAAGGCGACGAUGCGUAGCCGACCUGAGAGGGUGAUCGGCCACAUUGGGACUGAGACACGGCCCAGACUCCUACGGGAGGCAGCAGUGGGGAAUAUUGCACAAUGGGGGAAACCCUGAUGCAGCAAUGCCGCGUGAGUGAUGACGGCCUUCGGGUUGUAAAGCUCUGUCUUCGGGGACGAUAAUGACGGUACCCGAGGAGGAAGCCACGGCUAACUACGUGCCAGCAGCCGCCGUAA
rnacentral:rRNA from 1 species